rnacentral:sRNA from 1 species
GUGAAAAGCACUUGAGAAUAAAGUCAUGUCACCACAAAGAGAUAUUGGUCCAACUGUGAAGGCUUCUUCAAAACAGCCCUGCCAACAUGCUUCAACCCUAUAGAGGGAGGACAAGAGAGAUGGAGGUAGCUCAGUCUCCAUGCCCAUUCAAGUCUUGGUCUCU